rnacentral:rRNA from 1 species
CGGAGCAGUGGCGGACGGGUGAGUAACGCGUGGGAACGUGCCCUUUGGUUCGGAACAACACAGGGAAACUUGUGCUAAUACCGGAUGUGCCCUUCGGGGGAAAGAUUUAUCGCCAUUGGAGCGGCCCGCGUUGGAUUAGGUAGUUGGUGGGGUAAUGGCCCACCAAGCCGACGAUCCAUAGCUGGUCCGAGAGGAUGAUCAGCCACACUGGGACUGAGACACGGCCCAGACUCCUACGGGAGGCAGCAGUGGGGAAUCUUGCGCAAUGGGCGAAAGCCUGACGCAGCCAUGCCGCGUGAAUGAUGAAGGUCUUAGGAUUGUAAAAUUCUUUCACCGGGGAAGAUAAUGACGGUACCCGGAGAAGAAGCCCCGGCUAACUUCGUGCCAGCAGCCGCGGUAAUACGAAGGGGGCUAGCGUUGCUCGGAAUUACUGGGCGUAAAGGGCGCGUAGGCGGACAGUUAAGUCAGAGGUGAAAGCCCAGGGCUCAACCUUGGAAUUGCCUUUGAUACUGGCUGUCUUGAGUUCGGGAGAGGUGAGUGGAAUGCCGAGUGUAGAGGUGAAAUUCGUAGAUAUUCGGCGGUACACCAGUGGCGAAGGCGACUCACUGGCCCGAUACUGACGCUGAGGCGCGAAAGCGUGGGGAGCAAACAGG